rnacentral:rRNA from 1 species
AGGGACCUACGGGAGGCAGCAGUGAGGAAUAUUGCACAAUGGGGGAAACCCUGAUGCAGCGACGCCGCGUGAGUGAAGAAGUAUUUCGGCGCGUAAAGCCCUGUCAGCGGGGAAGAAGAAAGACGGUACCCGACCAAGAAGCCCCGGCUAACUACGUGCCAGCAGCCGCGGUAAUACGUAGGGGGCGAGCGUUAUCCGGGAUUACUGGGUGUAAAAGGAGCGUAGACGGCGAGGUAAGCCUGAAGUGGAAGCCCGCGG